CACCUUUAUCCACCUUUGUCAUGGUAGGAAUAACACGUCAAUGUAAGGGUGGGGUCAUCUAAGAUAGCACAAGCGUUAUUCAUAGCAAAUCCAAAGAGUCAGUGUCUGAGGACUGUAACUUCCCCAGAAUGUCACUAGAGAUGACAACAGUUUCUCCUCCAAGGUUCUUUCAGCUGCGCUCCUCACGAGUCAUCACAGCAAAUCUUCCACCUCUGUCUAAUUCCACCCUUCGUCCCUCAACCCCCUUCAUGUCCAGUUCUACAUCAUCCAUGAUGACAGUCAACAAUGUCCCUCCUCUUAAUGGGUCCAAGCAUCUGCUUCCCUGCAUUUAUUUCUAAAACAUCCACCGUGAUCUGUUGCUCUGAUUGAUUCAUUCUGGAUUCUAUCCAUCCUCGUCCAAAGAGAGAACCUCAACAUCUUCACCUCUGUUACCUCCAGGCGUCUGCAGCCUUCAACGCUGAACACCCAUUCAGGCUGGUUUCUCAUCUUUUAUUGAUAUACUGUAUAUAGCUGAACUUUUGAUCAAUUAAAAAAUGGAAAAAUUGAGAAGAUAGCAUUUUAACCUAUGACUUUGGUUUUUACUCUUAAGAAAGACAUACACUUAAAUAGAAUACUUCAACCAAAAGUGUUAUGCAAUCAAAAUAGAGGUUUUUUUAAAAACAUUAUUUAUAGGUCUACUUUGGUUAGCCGCCCCUACUUCCCUCUAAAUAUGUAAAUAUUAAUUCAUUCGUUUUAGAUCCAGUGGAAAAGUAUAUGAAGUCCAUAUGAAUAGGACUUACAUCUAUUUCUCUUCUUCCUUCUUGACUGCAACUAAAUGUUAUUUUACAGCAUGAGAUAAUUUGAUUGAAAUACAUCCUAAUAAUAAGCAGAGCUUAAAGAAUUUCAAACUUCUCAACAAUAAUUUGCUCAACAUUUCAAAUGUAUGCAUUCUUGGAAAAAUACAAGCCCUUUUGAUUUGAUUGCAAUGUCAGCAGCAGUGACAAUUUAUUUUUACUAAGUUUAUUGCUGUUACAGAAGCAACUUAGCCAUAAAUUCAUAAAUCUAAUACACUAAAUUUAAAUCAGUGCUAUGAUUUUGUUUGUCUUCAGCCAGAGAGACACAACGGAGGAGUGAAAAACCCUACAUGUCGCUCUGGAGCCUCAGGUUGCAGGCUCCUGGUGUAACCCUUGUGCUCUCCUGGGUACUUUAACAAUGGGAGUUGGGUCAUCCACCACUCUCUGCUGCUCUGGACUGUUGACCGUGCUCCAAAUCUAGAAGCCCGUCUCUCUUUCUAUCACACUGUCUCUCAACUUUUCUUCUUCGAUCAUGUCAGCUGACUUUCCCUGUCACAGUCCCAGCAUUUGAAAUGCUCCUCCUGACACAUUGUUCAUGUCUGGUUGUCCCUGGCUGCUUCCUCCAGCUCCUCUGGGGUCCCUGGGCCAACUGAGGGAUGUCGUUUUUCCAGCGUGUCCUGGCUCUGCUCAAUGGGACAUGUCUGGAACACCUCCCCAGGGAGGCAUCCAGGAGGUGUCCAAACCAGAUGCCAGACGAAAGAUGCUAAUCUGAGUACACAGCGCCUCCUGUUGGUUGCCUGGUCAAACGAGAUGCAAUGACAGGGCUGGAUCCAGGUGGAGGCAGUAUGGUAUGGAGCCAAUCUGGCUACUGUUGGGAAAAGGUGGGGUACGCCCUGGAUAGGUCAAGGGUCAGUUGCAGGGUCACACACUCAUGUGCACAACUACAGGUAAUUUACAGAUACAAACUGUUCAUCUAUCACCA